rnacentral:ribozyme from 1 species
UUUUUUUUUUUUUUUUUUUUUUUUUUUUUUUUUUUUUUUUUUUCCCUA